rnacentral:misc_RNA from 1 species
UUUUGCCAAUAAAAAGAAUGUUCUGAAAUAGUUCAAAAGUGGUGGAAGGAAUAAUAUGUUGAGUUUCUUCACUUAAGCAGCCAAAGCAAAUCUACCUGAGGAAUGCAAAGACUAGCAAUGGUCAGUCCAGCAAUGAUGUCCCCUCGAAAUUUGGUGAAAUUGUAACUUCUACCCCAUUCAAGGAUGGGGAAGAUGGUUUGCAUGCCCAGGAUGAACUUUUUCGAUCCUGGUUGGUCCUUGAAAGGACGCAGAGGAUCAUCCGCAAAGAAUGUCUCCUUCACAGUAGCUUUGAUUUCUUUCAAGAGAUUUUGCUUAGGGGGAAUUCCAACCUUGUGUGUAUGUGGUGCGUUAGGAGUCUGAGGAUGAGAGGAUGACAGGCUUCUAAUGUCCAUAUCUUUUGUUUCGUGCUCUUUGUCA